CAGCGGCAGGUGAUGCAGCUCUCGGUGGAUGCUGAGCGCAGGAAGCUCGCGGGAGGGGCUGCUGAACACAUUCCCCUAUUCUAACGAGCGCAAGGGGAUCAGGACGGAGCUAAACCAGAAUAUAUUUCACUUACAAAAAACCCGCAAUGCCUCUUUUGCACUGGAUUUGUUUCCUUACAGCAUCGUUUUAGGGAAAAACAUUUCGAAUCGGACAUUUUGUGUUCCCCCCGCCGCGAGGCACAAGACCGCGUUUAGUUCCACGGACUAAAUACAAAACAGCUUUGAGAAAAGGAAGAGAUUGACAUAACUCAAGGUAAGACGUUUGCAGACCAUCAUGGCAUGGCCCUGUAUCUCCAGAGCCUGCUGUAUGGCUCGGUUCUGGAACCAGCUGGACGAGGCCGACAUUGCGGUGCCGCUGGUUUUCACCAAGUUCUCAGACGUGUCCGAGAUGCAGCAUCUUCACCUGCAGCAGCCCGCGCCGAAGGAACCGCAGCCGCUUCCCAACGAUCACGACGAGGUGACCAAAGGACCUGCAGCCCAGGAGGAGAACGUCUCAGGAUCUGUGAUGCGCCAGGACUUUAAACACUGGAAAGUUCGCCCGGAGCCCAGCUGCAAGCCCAAGAACGAGUACCACGGCCCCGAGGUUCCUUUUAACAACGAGACCCAGUAUCAGAAGGACUUCAAACCCUGGCCUAUCCCAAAGAGGGGAGAUCAUCCUUGGAUCCCCAAACCCUCUCCGACCAUCUCAGCAGGCAGUGACCACAUCCCUGACAGACCCAAACACUCCUCAGAGAUGAUGGACAAUGGGGUGGAAAAGAGUGAGAUUGCUGACAAGGUGCAAGAGAAGGAGAUCCUGUCUAGUGCCAGGAAAAAGAGGCAAGCCAAGAAAGCGACCAUGCUUUCUGAAACCAAAGCUGGCGUGAAGUUGGACGGGCAGAGUGUGGGGGAUGCCCCCACUACAGAUGGUAAAGGGAGGGCAGCUGUGGAUGCUCUCAACCAGCAGAUCAAACAAGAAGUCACCUCUGGCAGCUCCUACAGGACUGAGUACAAAGCCUACACAGAUGUGAAACCUGUGAAGCUCAUCAGGGCCAAGUCUCAGUAUCAGCCUCCCGAUGAGAAGACUGAUCUGGAGACCAGCUACAGCGCCACCUACAGGGCCUACCAGGCCACUCAGCAGCCAGAUGACAACAAAGCCUUGGAGAGGAGGAGGAUACGCACACUGUACCAUGAGCCUUACAGAGAGAGCAGUAAGGUGGAGAAAACCAGUCUUCCUCGCUCCAAACCCAAAAAGAGCACAUCCGCCACACCUGGCAAACCGCUGAAGAAGUCCAAGGAGAAGCAGGUGACGUCGGUGCGCGGAUUGAAGAAGAAGAGCACAGAGAACCAGCCGGAGAGCAGAGCGGCGCAGGGCGACAAGGAGAAAAGUAAAGAGAUCAACAACAAACUGGCUGAGGCGAAAGAGUAAAAACCAUUGCACUUCUUCUCUCAUUUAAUCUCUUCCUGAAAGGGUGAAAGCAGAACGAAGGCUGCAAAAUUAUUUUACAAGAGGUUCUCAUUCCUUUACUGGUCUGUCCAUUGCUGCCCCCUCCCUCUCUUUCUCUCUCUUUUUCUGAUGCACCUCUCGUUUUAUUCCUCAAUGUAUAUUUCCAAUACCCCUCUUUCUCUCACUCUCUCUUUUACUCUAAGAGGUCAGUGGGCUGAUUUCACACAAUUUUCAGGGUUGAAUUUGAUGUUUUUCUCCUCUUUUGCCUCACAAUCCCACUCAGUGACAUUAAAGCGUUUGCAUUUACUAUAGCUCCACCCACUCUCCUCAUCUCAAGACAAGGUUUCCAUGGCAACCCCUCUACUGGUUGGCCAGUGGAUGCUCUUAUCUUGCAUGGAGCCAUUGGCUCUGUAUGUAUAUACCAUCAGAUGCACAGACUGGUGGGUUUCAUUUAUCAAGGGUUUUACAAUGAAGCCAAUUUAUAUCCAAUCAUGCUUUUGAGUUUUGUUUUAUGUAAAUUGGGCGACACAAGAAACCACAAAGGCUAAUUCCUCCAUCAAAAAUCUUUGAUAAAUGUGCAUCUUUGGUUUUAAGACUGUUAAUCUGCUUGCCUUGCCUGUUUUAUGUUGUCAAUUUAGUGAGCGAACACCCCAAGCUCCUAAGUGAUAUGUUAUGAUCUCAGAUCACUUUGGUGCUGUGAUGAUUUGAAUUAUUCUGUUUAUUUUCUUGAGAACCAUUCCAUAUUAUGAAAAUGUUUUUGAAUCAUUACAGGAACAGGAUAUCUCCAAAUAGAACACAAGUAUCCCCAAAAAGCAUCUGUCAAGGUCAUACAAUAAUAAGGCCUUGUUUUGGCCCACUUUGUUGCUUACACAACCAACUGGAUUAUUACUGUAACAUGAAAUCGCAUUAUGGGAUGUACUGUAAAUUUUUCUUUGGAUAGAAUAGGAUUUAGAUGUUUUUGUUAGACAUUUAAUUUAUUAUAAACUAAAAUAUGUUAAUGCAUUGUUUGGUUUUGAGAACUUCUGUUCCAUUUUGCACCAUAAAAUAUGUAAGGAUCACAACACAACAUUUAACAUUAUAUCUUCCACUCUGCCCAACUGUUUCUUUUUCUCUCACAUGCACACUUCCCAUCCCCCCUAAGGGAGCCCCCGAGGUAGACAGAUGGGGGAUCCCAAAAGUAGAGGGGGAACUAAAAAGGUCAAUGUUCAGCCUCAAAAUCAAAGCCCUUCUUUAUGUGAAUGCAGAUUCAACCUAUCCCAGAGUGUCUCCUGCUUUGUUUUGCUCCUGCAUCCCCCCUGUUGUUCAAUGACUGACAUAACCUGUAUUCUUGACUAAUUGUUCUGUUUGUUAUUACGUGUCUCUCGAUGUAAUGGUAAGUCAAAUGCAGUCUGUGCGGAAUGCUGUUCGUUUACUCGCAACUGCAUGAUCAUGACAUCUUUGUUUGUUUUGUUGGCCCCAAAAAGGCCACUUCCCAAGAUGCACAUGUAUGUAAGAGGAAAUUUCAUGUGACAUUUACUUGGUAACAAAAUUGACAUACAAGCCCUCAUCACAAUCUCUGAGUCACCUUAGAGGUUGUGAGUUUAUAAUGCAAAUUUAAAGGUAAGAUAAUCUGUCAUAAUUUACUCACCAAAACUGUGUUCCAAAAAUGGACAAAAACCAUUAUAUCGCAGAAGAAAAAAAAUAGUCAUGUUUGGGAUGACUUUAGGGUGAGUAAAUGAUUAGAAUUUCAGAAUUUUUGUAGGGUUUAAUGCUGAUACAUUCACAGAAAUGAUUUUGUUUUGGCAGUGAAUCUUUUUAGAUAUAAUGUGAUCAGGCCUUAUGUAACAGAACAUAAUCAUGGGUUUGUAUGUGACAUGACACUGUCACGGAUUCAUGUUAGUUUGUGAUGGAAAAACAAAGAUGUUGGUAGUUCAUAGGACUGAAUGGCAUUCAUUUCGGUUUCUAAGGGUGUAUUCACACCAGAAAAGUCCUCUAGUUCACUUGCUUUGGUCCGGACCGAAUACAAUUUAGAUUUUUUAGUUUUUGUUUGGUGCAGUUCGCUUUCACACUGCCCUUUUUGCAAGUGAACCAGAAAAUGUAAACGAAUCCACACGUGUGCUUAAGGUCAUCUAUUCAUUGGUUGAUCCAUUCAACUGUACCAGAGUUCAUUUGGAAGCGGACCAAGACCACCUCUUCAGUUGGGUCUCGGUAUGGUUGUUCUGUCCGAACCAAACAAGACAGGUGUGAAUAUACCCUAAAUGUCCUCAUUUGCUGCAUUAUGGGAGUGCAUUGUGUAAGAUCAUGCUCUGCAUUGUUUUGUUUUUUUAAAUCAUGUACCUCCCCUCGGCAAAUCCUCUCUCUGUCUCCAAUCUCAUCCCUUGAGGUCUUCUUCAUUUUCAGUAUGUCAAGUAUGUGAUCUCAUUGUCCUGUUUGACCAAUCGGUUCACAGUAAUUCUGUAAUCUGUUGCCAGAUUGAAGAAAUUAAGCGAUCUUAUCCCCUUUUCAUAAUCAAAAACAAGUGGCAACAAACAACUAUGAUCUAGUGCAAGUAACUAAAACAUUCUGGAUCUAACAAAAUUAACUAAAUCAAAUUGCAUGUGUUUAUGAAGUUUAGGAACAUUUGCAUUUAUUAUUUCUCAAUAAAUUGUGUUUUCAUUACAAAUGUAGAACACCUUUUUAAAAAUGCAGUUUCACUGCUCGUGAUUAAAGUAACCUCAGAUUGGCAAAAAAUCUUAGUCGGGUUAGAUGCCACAUUUAAUUUUUUCGUCAACUAAAUAACAGCAUAGUCCAUUCUAUACUUCACGCACACUUUCAUUUCUGGCAGAAAUUAAAUAUGGCUGGAUUCAGAAUAGUAUACAACUCGCAUACUAUUUUAUAGUUCUAAAUAUAUUUAAUUAGGACAGGAAUAGUAAGAGAACCGCAUGCUAUUCAAGUUCAGCUGUAAUCUUUUAUCUUUCAUGGUGUGCGCCAUUAGCAGAAUGAGCUUGACAAACACAGCCGUUCCGCCACGUAUUUACCACUGAUAUACCAUGUAAAAUGCUAUUUGGAUGUAUUAUAACUGUGUUAAUCAUUAUAUAUGAAAAUAUAGAAUCCAUUACAAUGCAUUAUGAAUACCUUGAAUGUAUUAUAUACAGGCUUCAAGUCAGAGACUACAGUGCAAUUCUGUUGGACAUCCAGAAUGUUGAAUUCCUAAAGCAUGAAAGUAUCUGUUUCUUCAGUCUGGCUGUAGAAUACAGUCACAUGGAGCUCAUUUUCUUCUGCGCUGUGCUCUGAAGCUGAGUGCGCCGCAGAGUGAGGGCCUUUUCUUUUAUUUUGCAGCCUUUGGUGACUCAAUCACUGUUAAUAUAAUGUGGGAAUUAGGGGAAGGCAUUGUGGGGAGACAGAGAAGGAGCAGCUAUUGGGGUUGUACAUGUCAGUGAGUGUGUGUGCGCGUGUGUGUGUGUGCUUAGCACAGGUGCUAUCUAUAGUCCAUGCAUACUGAAAAAGGAGAGAAAAACUGUUAUGUGAAAGGGCCUCAGAUUUAACUGAGAUAAUGUAAAUUGUGAUUUCUCUCUUGCUUGCUCAUAUUUAUUGAAAUUAAUAAAUGCAAACGCAGAAA